GAGUUUGAUCCUGGCUCAGAACGAACGCUGGCGGCGUGCUUAACACAUGCAAGUCGAACGUGAUCCAGAGCUUGCUCUGGUGAAAGUGGCGCACGGGUGAGUAACGCGUGGAUAACCUGCCCUGGUAUCUGGGAUAACAUCUCGAAAGGGGUGCUAAUACCGGAUAAGCCUACGGGCUCUUCGGAGUCUGCAGGAAAAGGAGGCCUCUAUUUAUAAGCUUCCGUAUCAUGAUGGGUCCGCGUACCAUUAGCUAGUUGGUGGGGUAAUGGCCUACCAAGGCGACGAUGGUUAGCUGGUCUGAGAGGAUGAUCAGCCACACUGGAACUGAGACACGGUCCAGACUCCUACGGGAGGCAGCAGUGGGGAAUUUUGCGCAAUGGGGGAAACCCUGACGCAGCAACGCCGCGUGAGUGAUGAAGGCUUUCGGGUCGUAAAGCUCUGUCAGAGGGGAAGAAAUGAAACGUGCUAAUAUCACGUUUUCUUGACGGUACCCUCAAAGGAAGCACCGGCUAACUCCGUGCCAGCAGCCGCGGUAAUACAAGGGCGAMYYCW
rnacentral:rRNA from 1 species